rnacentral:rRNA from 1 species
UACAGAGGGGGCAAGCGUUAUUCGGAAUUAUUGGGCGUAAAGGGCGCGUAGGCGGCCAUUCAAGUGACGGGUGAAAGCCCUCGGCUUAACCGAGGAACUGCCUGUCAGACUGGAUGGCUUGAGACCGGGAGAGGUGAGUGGAAUUCCCAGUGUAGCGGUGAAAUGCGUAGAUAUCAGGAGGAACACCAAUUGCGAAGGCAGCUCGCUGGGACGUUACUGACGCUGAGACGAAGAAGCGUGGGGAGCAAACAGG